AUCAACUUUCGAUUGGUAGGAUAGAGGCCUACCAUGGUGGUAACGGGUAACGGGGUGUUAGGGCACGACACCGGAGAGGGAGCCUGAGAAACGGCUACCACAUCCAAGGAUGGCAGCAGGCGCGCAAAUUACCCAAUCCCGACACGGGGAGGUAGUGACAAUAAAUAACAAUACGGGGUUCUUUAGGAUUUCGUAAUUGGAAUGAGUACAAUUUAAAUCUCUUAACGAGGAACAAUUGGAGGGCAAGUCUGGUGCCAGCAGCCGCGGUAAUUCCAGCUCCAAUAGCGUAUAUUAAAGUUGUUGCAGUUAAAAAGCUCGUAGUUGAAUUUCGGGGUCAGUAGGUUGGUCAUGCCACUGGUAUGUACUGGUCUCACUGAUUCCUCCUUCCUGAUGAGCCGUAAUGCCAUUAAUUUGGUGUUGCGAGGAAUCUGGACUGUUACUUUGAAAAAAUUAGAGUGUUUAAAGCAGGCUAACGCUUGAAUACAUUAGCAUGGAAUAAUGAAAUAGGACGUUCGAUCUUAUUUUUUUGGUUUCCAAGAUUGACGUAAUGAUUAAUAGGGAUAGUUGGGGGCAUUAGUAUUCAAUUGUCAGAGGUGAAAUUCUUGGAUUUAUUGAAGACUAACUACUGCGAAAGCAUUUGCCAAGGAUGUUUUCAUUAAUCAAGAACGAAAGUUAGGGGAUCGAAGACGAUCAGAUACCGUCGUAGUCUUAACCAUAAACUAUGCCGACUAGGGAUCGGAUGAUGUUAAUUUUUUAAUGACUCAUUCGGCGCCUUACGGGAAACCAAAGUGUUUGGGUUC
rnacentral:rRNA from 1 species